rnacentral:rRNA from 1 species
CACCCCAACAGCUAGCCCCCCCCCCUUAAAACAACAACCCAACAUCAAUAACCCCUAACACCGAACCCAACACAAAACAAACCAUUUUUCCCCCUUAGUAUGGGCGACAGAAAAGGAAACAGGAGCAAUAGAAAAAGUACCGCAAGGGAAAGCUGAAAGAGAAAUGAAACAACCAACUGAAGGAGAAAAAAGCAGAGAUUAAUACUCGUACCUUUUGCAUCAUGACUUAGCCAGCAAACCACAAGCAAAGAGCGCUUUAGUUUGGGACCCCGAAACUAAGUGAGCUACUCCAAGACAGCCUAACAUAGGGCAAACCCGUCUCUGUGGCAAAAGAGUGGGAAGAGCUUUGAGUAGAGGUGACAGACCUACCGAACUUAGUUAUAGCUGGUUGCCUAAGAACUGAAUAGAAGUUCAGCCUUUUGAUUUCUUUAGCCAAACAAGGCGACGCCCUACCCAGACCACGAGAAUUAAUCAAAAGAGUUAGUCGAGGGGGGUACAGCCCCCUCGAAAAAAGAUACAACUUUACCAUGGAGGAAAAAGAUCAAAGCACCUCAGGCAUUAUGUUUUAGUGGGCCUAAAAGCAGCCACCCUAAUAGAAAGCGUUAAAGCUCAAACAUAUCCCUCUGCCCCUUAUCCCGACAAGCACAUCUUAAACCCCUUAUUUUAUUAGGCCUUUCCAUGCCCACAUGGAAGAGACCAUGCUAACAUGAGUAAUAAGAGGGACUAGUCCCUCUCCCAGCACCUGUGUACAUCAGAACGAACCCCCACUGAAAAUUAACGCCCCCAAUCAAAGAGGGCCUUGAGCCGAAGCAGACUAAAACUAGAAGAUCGCUCAACAAAAAGCGUUAGCCCCACACAGGAGUGCCUCCAGGAAAGACUAAAGGAAAAGAAGGAACUCGGCAAACAUUAGCCUCGCCUGUUUACCAAAAACAUCGCCUCUUGCAACAACACAAUAUAAGAGGUCCCGCCUGCCCUGUGACGUAAGUUUAACGGCCGCGGUAUUUUGACCGUGCGAAGGUAGCGCAAUCACUUGUCUUUUAAAUGAAGACCUGUAUGAAUGGCAUAACGAGGGCUAAGCUGUCUCCCUUUCCCGGUCAAUGAAAUUGAUCUCCCCGUGCAGAAGCGGGGAUAAACUCGUAAGACGAGAAGACCCUAUGGAGCUUCAGACACCAGGACAGACCAUGUUAAAACCCCUAAAACAAAAGACUAAACCAAAUGACUCCUGUCCCCCUGUCUUUGGUUGGGGCGACCGCGGGGAAACAAAAAACCCCCACGUGGAACAGGGAUACCCCCCUUAAAACCAGAGCCACAGCUCUAACAAGCAGAACUUCUGACCAACAAGAUCCGGCAACGCCGAUCAACGGACCGAGUUACCCUAGGGAUAACAGCGCAAUCCCCUUUUAGAGCCCAUAUCGACAAGGGGGUUUACGACCUCGAUGUUGGAUCAGGACAUCCUAAUGGUGCAGCCGCUAUUAAGGGUUCGUUUGUUCAACGAUUAAAGUCCUACGUGAUCUGAGUUCAGACCGGAGAAAUCCAGGUCAGUUUCUAUCUACGAAAUGUUCUUUUCUAGUACGAAAGGACCGAAAAGAAGAGGCCCCUGCUAAAAGCAAGCCCCCUCCUGACCUGAUGAAGUCAACUAAAACAGGCAAAAGGACAUGACCCCCCGCCUAAGAGAAAGGCAU